rnacentral:misc_RNA from 1 species
AACCCUUCAAGCUUCUGCUUGGUGUUGGGCGUUUGUUCCGCCUCCGCGCGUGGACUCGCCUCAAAUUUAUUGGCAGCCGGUAAGUUGGCUUCGUGCGCAGCACAUUGCGUCGCGUCUCCAGCCUGCCCCCUUCCAACAAGCCUUUAUUAUCA